GACCCCGCGUGCGCUGUGCGCUGCGCCUUUAAGUCCGGGCGAGGAGCGCGGCGGCCAGGCCCGCGCGGGACGUCGCCCCCGGUGGAGCGGGGCCGCGCGUGGGUCCCCUGUCGCCCGCCCCUCGGACCCGGGCUGGGGGACGCGGUUCGGGAGAGCGAGGCAGCGCGGGGAGGACAGCCGCCGGGGGCCGGGUGAGGACAGGUGGAGCACGGAGGCGACCGAGCAGCAGGGCGGGGUGGCCAAGCCGCACGCGGCUGUGGCGCGGAGCGGGCUCGACGCGGUGGCUGAGUGGGUCACCCGCGGUGUCCCUCCGGGACCGGCGGGGACCUGAGGAGGGGCGGCCCGGGGAGGGGGCACGCAGGGCCGCGCAGCGGGGCCUCGGUGAGCUGCGGGAGGGCGCGCGCGCGCGCGCGCGCUCGGGUUCCGCCGGCAUCUGGCGCGGGAUCGGGGCCUCCGCGCACCCGCCGCGCGCUCCCCACGCACACACGCCCUUCCUGCCGCGCCGCUGCCACCAUCGAGCAGGCGAACCCCGCGGAGCGGAACCGGGCGGAGCGGACCGGAGAGGCUCCAGAGAUGCGGGACCUGAGCGGGGGCGCGCGCAGACGGCGCGCCCGGGACGCUUCCUGCACCCCCAGGCCCUAAGGUGACUCCGGCCCAGCUGCACUCAGUCAACCCCUAGCUGGAGGAAUAUGCAUGGUGGCGUACAGAAGGUGACAUUGAUGAGCACCACCUCUUCCUGAGGACACCAGGUGUGUGAGUUGGGCAGCGCCCACCUCGUCCAGGCUUCUGGAUUCAGGGACUCCUACCCUGCUUCUGAAAUCCACAGGACACAUCUAAUUUUUUUUUUUAUUUAAGCAAACUCAUUUUAAUGUACUUUAAUUAAACUGAUGUAUAAAAUGUG
rnacentral:lncRNA from 1 species